rnacentral:RNase_P_RNA from 1 species
AACGUCGUCACGUAAUCGCUGGCCUGCUCCUUCGGGAUCAGGCGGGAGGAAAGUCCGAGCUCUAAAGAGGAAGGUGCCGGGUAACGCCCGGUUGGAGCUGCAAGCAAUUGCAGUCUACAAGGAGAGUGCAACAGAAAAUAAACCACCCACGCACACUUCUACGUUCGCGUAGAAGUGCCGAGGGAACGGGUGAAACGGUGGAGUAAAAGCCCACCGCGUGUUUGGUAACAAACAUGGCAAGGCAACCCCAUCUGGAGCAAGGCCACGUAGGCAAGCGCAGGCGACUUCGGUCGCUCGGAGGGCUCCUCGUUCGAGCUUGCGGGUAGGCUGCUAAAGACGCUCGGUAACGAUCGUCGUAGAGAAAUGAUUGCGGUCGUUUGGAGGGCAACGUCCAAACGAAACAGAACUCGGCUUAUGAGGCGUGAGAC